rnacentral:rRNA from 1 species
CCUACGGGUGGCAGCAGUGAGGAAUAUUGGUCAAUGGACGCAAGUCUGAACCAGCCAUGCCGCGUGCAGGAAGACGGCUCUAUGAGUUGUAAACUGCUUUUGUACAAGGGUAAACCUGAAUACGUGUAUUCUUCUGCAAGUACUUUACGAAUAAGGAUCGGCUAACUCCGUGCCAGCAGCCGCGGUAAUACGGAGGAUCCAAGCGUUAUCCGGAUUUAUUGGGUUUAAAGGGUGCGUAGGCGGGUUGAUAAGUUAGAGGUGAAAUGUCGGGGCUUAACUCGGGAACUGCCUCUAAUACUGUUGAGCUAGAGAGUAGAUGCGGUAGGCGGAAUGUAUGGUGUAGCGGUGAAAUGCUUAGAGAUCAUACAGAACACCGAUUGCGAAGGCAGCUUACCAAGCUAUAUCUGACGUUGAGGCACGAAAGCGUGGGGAGCAAACAGGAUUAGAUACCCGAGUAGUC